CAGCGAGACGGACACAAAGACGCACGGGGAGAGAGAAGGAGAAAGCAAAGUAAAACGAGGAGGGGAGAAAGGAAGGGGGAGGGGCGAGGAAAGUGGAAAAAAGUGGGUGAAAAAGAAGAAAGAAAGAGAGGAAGAAACAAAGAAGCUAGACAGGACAAAAACACUGAACACAAGAUGCAAAGUGCCUUCUGAAAGUAUGCAUACCUCUUUUUCCAUUUAAAAUGUAAAUGUUUUUUAUUUGUAUUUUAUGUGAUAAAGUAAGACAAGGUAGUGCACAACAUUGAAGUGAAAGGAAAGUGAUGUAAUGUUUUUAAAACUGUCUAAAAAUAAUCUAAAGAACUGUGUUACAGUCAACCCUCAGGCAAUUUUCUGUCUCAUUUGAAUGCAAUUACAGUGGCAAGUGUUUUUUAAGGUGACUGAACAGUGUGACCGUCCUCUGCAAAAUAGGCGGGACUGGAUGGGAAGGGUCUACGAACAAUAUUCAAGUCCUGCCUCAUAUUCUCACUGGAAACGACUCCACUUCAACACAGACACAUCUAUCACCGCCAAGGGCAACAGAGAGAGAGGCAAACGUGCAUUAGGAGCUCUAAAAGAAGAAUGACUCCUGGCUGAUUCGAACUGGAGAACAUCGGGACUGCUUCAACGUGAAAACCAAGCAGAGGCCUUAAAUACUUUCCAUACUUUUGUCCAUUUAGGAAAACAUGCACUACAAAGUAAUCAUUUUGACGUGAAGCAUGGACCUUUAACAGCCUCAAAAAUGAGGGAGGAGAAUCAUGUAAAAGCGUAAAACACUUCGAAUUGACUGAAAGUUUAGCACAACAUCUGAUACCUUAAAGAAAAAUAAUUAAUUCAAUCCAGAACUUCACUGAAUCAUCCAUGACUUUGUAGUUAGUGGUGUGUUUUAAAUUAGCAAACAAAAUCACUUCUCCAUUACUUUUAAACAGUUUAAAAUGUAUUCUGUUUGGACGUUUUACGUGUCUUACAUUAGCUCAGUGGAUUGAAGGUUUAUUACAACAAUGACCCUCAGCAAACCAGAAAUAGGCCGUAACAAUCCAGAUAACUAUCUGACACAGAUAUAAAUACGAGUCACAGUGGACAGCAUCUCUACAGCCUGCGCUUGGUAGAUAAAGGAAACUAUCAGGGAUAAACAAAAACAGAUGGAGCGGACUGUUAAUGAGGAAAGCAAACAAAAUUAAAAGGUAAAGAAGCAGAAACUUGCAACUUCUCUAUUUUGAGCCUAGAAUUAAUAGCAUGAAAUAAUCAGAAAAAGAACCAAAAAAAAAAGCAACAACAAAGCAGUAGUGUCCAUUUUUAUUUUUUGUGGCGUUAAAUUUAAGAUUAAAAAAAUACAGAGCUUCUUAUUUGUUCCUUGUCAACGUUUUCUAUUUUGUUUUCCAUUUUGAGUUUUUUGCACACUACCUAGAAACUAACCAGUCCAAAUUGUA